GAUGAAGAACGUAGCGAAAUGCGAUAAGUAGUGUGAAUUGCAGAAUUCCGUGAAUCAUCGAAUCUUUGAACGCACAUUGCGCCUUCUGGUAUUCCGGAAGGCAUGCCUGUUCGAGAGUCAUUAACAACCGUUUCGAUCCCUUUCUUUCAGAAAUUACAAAGAGGAAAAGGGUUUGGUUAUGGUGGAGGAGGGAAAGGGAGCGUUUCGCCUGUAAAAAAAGAGGCUGUGUUCCGCCUCCCCCCCAAAAUUGUACAGGCGGUCGUGUGCGCCCACGCAUCGAGGUGUUGUAAAAGCUGCCACGGCACUUUUCACCUGUGCAGUGCGAGAUUGGCCAGCCGGUUUAAAAACCCCUCCAAACAAUCAAAGGUUGACCUCGGAUCAGGUAGGGAUACCCGCUGAACUUAAGCAUAUCAAUAAGCGGAGGA
rnacentral:misc_RNA from 1 species